GAUGAAGAACGUAGCGAAAUGCGAUACUUGGUGUGAAUUGCAGAAUCCCGUGAACCAUCGAGUCUUUGAACGCAAGUUGCGCCCGAAGCCAUUAGGCCGAGGGCACGCCUGCCUGGGCGUCACACGUCGUUGCCCCCCCAUCUACUCCUUCGGGAUUGCGGGGGGCGGAUGAUGGCCUCCCGUGCGCCUCGCCGCGCGGUUGGCAUAAAUGCCAAGUCCUCGGCGACGCACGCCACGACAAUCGGUGGUUGCGAAACCUCGGUUGCCCGUCGUGUGCGGUCGUCGCGCAUCGAGGGCUCGAAAAAAUUGCCGGGUUCCGGCUCGACUUUCAACGCGACCCCAGGUCAGGCGGGGUUACCCGCUGAAUUUAAGCAUAUCAAUAAGCGGAGGA
rnacentral:misc_RNA from 1 species